rnacentral:rRNA from 1 species
AUUGAACGCUGGCGGCGUGCUUAACACAUGCAAGUCGAUCGGUAACGCGGGGGCAGCCCUGGCGACGAGAGGCGGACGGGUGAGGAACGCUUGGGAAUCUGCCUAUCAGCGGGGGACAACACGGGGAAACUCGUGCCAAUACCGCAUACGCUCUACGGAGGAAAGCCGGGGACCGCAAGGCCUGGCACUGAUAGAUGAGCCCAAGCCGGAUUAGCUAGUUGGCGAGGUAACGGCCCACCAAGGCGACGAUCCGUAGCUGGUCUGAGAGGACGAUCAGCCACACUGGGCCUGGUCCACGGCCUAGACUCAGAGGGGUGGAAGCAGUGGGGAAUAUUGGACAAUGGGGGAAAACCUGAUCCAGCGACGCCGCGUGGGUGAAGAGGGCCUGCGGGUUGUAAAGCCCUUUCGGUAGGGACGAAAGCUCUCGACCUAACACGUCGGGAGGUUGACUUAACCUACAAAAGAAGCACCGGCUAACUCUGUGCCAGCCGCCGCCGUAACAC